UUUAUUUUACACAAGAAUGACGAAUUUACCCUCUAGAAACUGAUCAAAAAUUUCGAGGUUUUAAUUGAUUUUUGUUGUUUGCUGCACGCGACCAUUCCUUCGAGCUUGGCAUGGUCGUUACCGGUGAAUGGUGAUGAUGGGUCAUCAACCUUUCCACAAGCCACCUAUCUACGACAGUGGAACCUGACCCGAAGAAAUACUUGUAUGGUGAAGGUGCGAAGGAAGCGGUGGCGACGGAGGUUAUGAGAUUGGAGCGACGGAUCUUUCAAUUGCUUGAAAUUUAAGGACCUGCUUUGUCCUAUUUGUAUGCAGAUAAUUAAUAAUGCUUUUCUCCGGCUUGUGGUCAUAGUUUCUGCUAUCAUCGCACAUGAUAAGAACAAGAGCGAUUCCCCUUGUUCUAGCCAAAAUCUGACUAACAAUUAUCGCUCUUACUCAUAAGCUUAAGUUCUAACUUCUAAGAAAUUUCUACCAACAGUAGUGAAGCUAAAGCUGAAAAGGGUGGACGGAAGAGAAAGAUCGAUGCAGAGCAACAAAAAAUUAAGAAGAACGAUAAAAAGGAAGGAAGUCAUGGCUGUGUACUCUGCUCCUACUUACCGUCGCACCUUUCAAUGGUAUUUUAUUCAUCUCUAGACUCUAGAAUACAUGUGAUCUUGAUUUUGUGAGCAUAUUGAUGUAUCCCUGGAUAGUUUGCUGUGAAAAUUUAGUUUGAGCUUCGAUUUUAAUUUGAAAUGUUUGCAAGGCUAGGCUUCUAAUCAUAUUGUAGUGGUUUGAUCUAGGAUCUAGAGUUCGAUCAAUCAUCUUCGAUGCAUUCUGAAAAAGAAAUCUUGGAAUCAAAAUUGGAUUGUAUGAGAGAUGUAUGAUUAUAUCCUCUCUGUUUGGUCACGUAUGGUUGCUGAGAACAGAGAUUGGAGUCCAUAUCUUUUAGGUAAAAAUAUUGAAAAUUAAAACUCAUAUGUUUUAAAACUUAUGGGGUUACAGUUUAUAGUGAUACAUACUUUUGUGGAACUUCCUUUUAAAAAUCAUUAUUUGUGGAUUUUAUUGUUAUUUCUAGUGGUUUUGAUGGAGAUAUAACAUCUGUUCUCGCAUUGGUAGUCAUGUCAUUUACAAUAUGUGUGUUUCAUUUGGUGUUUGGGUUCCCUCAGUUAUACUUCCUUAGGGUUUAGUGUUCUGCGGUUAACUAGCUACUUGGGUUCCCUCAGUUGUAGUUCCUUAGGGUUUAGUGUUCCGUAAUAAAAAUGCGGUUAACUAGCUGCUUGGGGUUCCCUCUGUUAUACUUCUUUAGGGUUUAGUGUUCUGCGGUUAACUGGUUACUUGGGUUCCCUCAGUUGUAGUUCCUUAGGGUUUAGUGUUCCUUAAUAAGAGUGCGGUGAACUAGCUACUUGGGGUUCCCUCAGUAAUAGUCCUUAGGGUAUAGUUUUUCUUAAUACAUGUGUGUGUGUUUGAUUCGGUCCAAUACAUUAGUUGUCCUCAUUUACGUUCCCUUAAUACUCUUCCCCUUGUAAGUUCUGUUAAGUACAUUGGCUUCUACUAGCCGCCGAACUCUUCACUCACGAGGUAUACAUACUCGAGUCCAUGAAUUUCUUCCUUUCUCUAUGAUUUCUUGCUAUAUUUGAGCUUAUAUGACAAUGUUUGUUUAAUGGUUUGCUUGUUAUUAAUUAUCUUCCUGAACAAAUCAUUUUUACAUGGUUGGUGGCGUCGACGAGAUAGUUGUAAAGGCAAAAAACUUUUCCAAGAAGUCGACAGCUUAAAGGACUGAUUUAUUUCUUUUUUUUCAUAGCUGUUGUAUAGUUGUCUUAUGAGAUCAAAGGUUGAUAAGUAUAUGUAAUUUUGAUUAGUUU